UGCGUAGGCGGGCAGGUAAGUCCGUGGUGAAAUCUCUGAGCUUAACUCAGAAACUGCCAUGGAUACUAUUUGUCUUGAAUAUUGUGGAGGUGAGCGGAAUAUGUCAUGUAGCGGUGAAAUGCUUAGAUAUGACAUAGAACACCAAUUGCGAAGGCAGCUCACUACACAAUUAUUGACGCUGAGGCACGAAAGCGUGGGGAUCAAACAGGAUUAGAUACCCUGGUAGUCCACGCCCUAAACGAUGAUUACUCGACAUCAGCGAUACACUGUUGGUGUCUGAGCGAAAGCAUUAAGUAAUCCACCUGGGAAGUACGAUCGCAAGAUUGAA
rnacentral:rRNA from 1 species